GGGGCUCAAGGGAGGCCCCAGAAACAAACUUUCCC
rfam:Equine infectious anemia virus complete genome.